rnacentral:lncRNA from 1 species
UUCAGCACCAGAAACCGCUGAACCAACUACAAAAGAGUCUUAUUUCCAACUUUUUUUUGAAGGUUCCACAACUGUUGGGUUAAGUGACCGGGUGAGGGUCACCAAACUUAGAAGGUGCAUUCCUUUAUUUUUUUUUCUCUUUUUUUUCUUUUUCGGGACACUCACUUAUAUUCAUCGGCUUCCCUGCGUAGAGUGUGUGUGAGAUGGUGCUGACUGCUGAAAUAAACUACUUAAGAGCUGUCAGAGAAUGAGAAUUUAAGGAUAUGUCAUAAUAAAAAUUCAACUCAAUUUCCAUAUGCAGGAGACUUACGGUGUUAAAAC